rnacentral:rRNA from 1 species
GUGUCAGCAGCCGCGGUAAUACGGAGGGUGCAAGCGUUAUCCGGAUUCACUGGGUUUAAAGGGUGCGUAGGAGGACUGGUAAGUCAGUGGUGAAAUCCCCGAGCUUAACUUGGGAACUGCCGUUGAUACUAUCAGUCUUGAAUACCGUGGAGGUGAGCGGAAUAUGUCAUGUAGCGGUGAAAUGCUUAGAUAUGACAUAGAACACCAAUUGCGAAGGCAGCUCGCUACACGAAUAUUGACUCUGAGGCACGAAAGCGUGGGGAUCAAACAGGAUUAGAUACCCUGGUAGUCC